rnacentral:rRNA from 1 species
GCUAGGUAUCGUUGCAUGAAUACAUAGUGCAACGAGGCGAACCGGGAGAACUGAAACAUCUAAGUACCCCGAGGAAAAGAAAUCAACCGAGAUUCCCUCAGUAGCGGCGAGCGAACGGGGAUUAGCCCUUAAGUUUCUUGGAAGUUAGUGGAAUGGUCCUGGAAAGGCCAGCGAUACAGGGUGAUAGCCCCGUACACGAAAACGACCUUGAAGUGAAAUCGAGUAGGGCGGGACACGUGACAUCCUGUCUGAAUAUGGGGGGACCAUCCUCCAAGGCUAAAUACUCCUGACUGACCGAUAGUGAACCAGUACCGUGAGGGAAAGGCGAAAAGAACCCCUGUGAGGGGAGUGAAAUAGAACCUGAAACCGUGUACGUACAAGCAGUGGGAGCCCUUCGGGGUGACUGCGUACCUUGUGUAUAAUGGGUC